rnacentral:rRNA from 1 species
UAGGGAAUCUUCCGCAAUGGACGCAAGUCUGACGGAGCAACGCCGCGUGAGUGAAGAAGGAUUUCGGUUCGUAAAACUCUGUUGUUAGAGAAGAACAGCGCAUAGAGUAACUGUUAUGCGUGUGACGGUAUCUAACCAGAAAGCCACGGCUAACUACGUGCCAGCAGCCGCGGUAAUACGUAGGUGGCAAGCGUUGUCCGGAUUUAUUGGGCGUAAAGCGAGCGCAGGCGGUCAAUUAAGUCUGAUGUGAAAGCCCCCGGCUCAACCGGGGAGGGUCAUUGGAAACUGGUUGACUUGAGUGCAGAAGAGGAGAGUGGAAUUCCAUGUGUAGCGGUGAAAUGCGUAGAUAUAUGGAGGAACACCGGUGGCGAAAGCGGCUCUCUGGUCUGUAACUGACGCUGAGGCUCGAAAGCGUGGGGAGCGAACAGG